UUAUGAUGAAUAACCUAAAUAUAGCUGGAAUUACCGGCAGAUUGCAGGUGGUGAUAUUGGUUUGUCUGAGA
rnacentral:snoRNA from 1 species